GCGGAAAUAGCUCAGUUGGUAGAGCAUAACCUUGCCAAGGUUAGGGUCGCGAGUUCGAGUCUCGUUUUCCGCUCCA
rnacentral:tRNA from 87 species